rnacentral:rRNA from 1 species
AACGAACGCUGGCGGCAUGCCUAACACAUGCAAGUCGAACGAGACCUUCGGGUCUAUUUGCGCAGGGUUGCGUGCCGCGUGGGAACCUGCCCUUAAGUUCGGAAUAACUGCCCGAAGGAUGUGCUCAGAACGGUGAAUGUCUUCGGACCAAAGAUGUAUCGCCUUUGGAUGGGCCCUCGUUAGAUUAGCCAGUUGGUAGUGUAAAAGCCGACCAACGCGACGAUCCAUAGCUGGUCGGUGAGGAGGACCAGGCACACUGGGAAUGAGACACGGACGAGACUCCGACGCAGGGGAGCAGAGGGGAAUAUUGUACAAUGGGCGAAAGCCUGAUACAGCAAUGCCGGGUGAGUGAUGAAGGCCUUAGGGUUCUAAAGCUCCUUUUCCCGGGAUGAGAAUGACAGUACCGGGUGAAUAAGCUCCGGCUAACUCCGUG